rnacentral:rRNA from 1 species
GCUAAUACAUGCAGUCGAGCGAGCCGAACUAAUUGAUUACCUUCGGGUAUGAAGUUAGGGAAGCGAGCGGCGGAUGGGUGAGUAACACGUGGGUAACCUACCCUAUAGUCUGGGAUACCACUUGGAAACAGGUGCUAAUACCGGAUAAAAGGAGAGAUCACAUGAUUUCUUUUUGAAAGGCGGCGUAAGCUGUCGCUAAAGGAUGGACCCGCGGUGCAUUAGCUAGUUGGUAAGGUAACGGCUUACCAAGGCAACGAUGCAUAGCCGAGUUGAGAGACUGAUCGGCCACAUUGGGACUGAGACACGGCCCAAACUCCUACGGGAGGCAGCAGUAGGGAGUCUUCCACAAUGGACGCAAGUCUGAUGGAGCAACGCCGCGUGAGUGAAGAAGGUUUUCGGAUCGUAAAGCUCUGUUGUUGGUGAAGAAAGAUAGUGAGAGUAACUGCUCAUUAUUUGUCGGUAAUCAACCAGAAAGUCACGGCUAACUACGUGCCAGCAGCCGCGGUAAUACGUAGGUGGCAAGCGUUGUCCGGAUUUAUUGGGCGUAAAGCGAGCGCAGGCGGAAAGAUAAGUCAGAUGUGAAAGCCCUCGGCUUAACCGAGGAAUAGCAUCGGAAACUGUCUUUCUUGAGUGCAGAAGAGGAGAGUGGAACUCCAUGUGUAGCGGUGGAAUGCGUAGAUAUACGGAAGAACACCAGUGGCGAAGGCGGCUCUCUGGUCUGUAACUGACGCUGAGGCU